GAUGAACGCUGGCGGCGUGCCUAAUACAUGCAAGUCGAGCGAACGGACGAGAAGCUUGCUUCUCUGAUGUUAGCGGCGGACGGGUGAGUAACACGUGGAUAACCUACCUAUAAGACUGGGAUAACUUCGGGAAACCGUAGCUAAUACCGGAUAAUAUUUUGAACCGCAUGGUUCAAAAGUGAAAGACGGUCUUGCUGUCACUUAUAGAUGGAUCCGCGCUGCAUUAGCUAGUUGGUAAGGUAACGGCUUACCAAGGCAACGAUGCAUAGCCGACCUGAGAGGGGGAUCGGCCACACUGGAACUGAGACACGGUCCAGACCCCUACGGGAGGCAGCAGUAGGGAAUCUUCCGCAAUGGGCGAAAGCCUGACGGGGCAACGCCGCGGGAGGGAUGAAGGUCUUCGGAUCGUAAAACUCUUUUAUUAGGGAAGAACAUAUGUGUAAGUAACUGUGCACCUCUUGACGGUACCUAAUCAGAAAGCCACGGCUAACUACGU
rnacentral:rRNA from 1 species